UUUGUCGAAGUAAGAUCUGUACGCGACUGUUUUAAAAUCCACACAGAAAUACAACAACAAAAUUUUGAGAAAGCUGCAUUUAUGUAGUCAACUUGUCCUCGUUUUAUAUUGCCUACAAGAGAUCGACCGAAGAAUAAACUGAGCCUUGCCAAAAUUAUACUGUUGUCUAUUCUUGCCGACCUUUUAUUAAAACGAGUGACAACUGUAUUCUUCGUCAGCCUUAUGAAACAAUUAAUUUGCCAUUUGCCUUAUGUCGGAUCCUGC